ACACAGCAAUAGCUUUGGCUUCAUUACUCAGCUCUGAAAUUAAAUGGGGCAAGAGAGAGACUCACUCUCUUCAAUAUAAAGGGAAAAGUAAACAUGUCUUUCUACCCUGAAAGCCUACUUGACCCAGUUCACGGCCAGCACCCAGAUAUGAGAGCAUGAUAGAAGAUAAAGGAGGGAGAAAUGAAGGUAGAAAGCAGAUACAAUACAAUGAGUAACCACAGAAAACUGUCCUGCUAAGUCUAAUCCUGAUUGCGGUUGCUGUGGCACAAGCAUCUCCCAGAUAUCUUCCUUCUGCUGUGGUCUGGACCUAAACCAUGAACCACAACCCCCUCCUCCUGAGACAUCAGCCAAUAAAGUCUUCUCCUUCCUCAGACAUAGGCGAAAAACAACAAAAAAAACCAACUUACCUCUUCCUACAUAUGCCUGGAUUUGAGUCCUGAACGACUGACAAAGGCCUAUUAAGUCUUCCUAGCCCUUCUGCUUUUUUUUCCUAUAUUAAUUUUUCUCUAGAGCCACUCUGAAGGAUGCCCCCUGUGAUUCAAGGGAAUUUAAUCAGACAUAAUAAAUGACCAAGUGCAAUCUCCAUCUUUUUAGCUAAUUUGUUUCAUUAACGUAUUAGUUAAUUAUUGGUUUUUCUUUUACUGUACAUCAUAUUGAUUAUGCAUUAGAUCUUCAGAGCACUAAUGGAAAUCUGGAUAUGUCUUCCAUUAUUGAGAUAUUUACUAUAAAACACAGUCUGGAACAGAUUAGAUAGCCACACCAAAGUAGUAUGAAGGUCAGGCUACUUAAAAGCACUAUUAAGUCAUAUUUUCUUUAAUAAAAAUGAAAUAAAGAUCUUCCCACCCUGCCUCCCUUUAAAUAGAAAUCAAGUCUGUACUGGUGCCUUUACCACAAUGAUGAGUUUCACUUAGACCGAUUAUCUUAUGAUAAUUUGUUCAUAUAACCAUACGUAAAUGAAAGGUUUUAGCUUUUUACUUGCUUUUCUUCCAGGAUAAAUCUACAGUCAUUUAUUGCUUUUUAAAUGAAAGUUGAGCUGCCUUCUGCACAGUACAGCCUCAAUAAGUGUGGUGAUCAUUAUUAUGAAGUUGUUGAGAACUUCCUUCCCAGCUGAACUCUGGGUCAGGUGGCUACAUACGCAUGUAGUCACUUUGAGGGCUACAGGCUCACAGAAUAUUUCUAGGACAUGUUAAAUCCUUUCUGCACUCAACUGUCACAGUGCUGUGAUUACGCAGAUCCAGAAUGCACUGGUGGGUAAUGACUGAGCUUACUGUUCAGUCCGAGUCCCACAGAUUAGAACUGCCAAGCUACCAAAGGUAGACAGCCUAGAACCUAAAUUGAUGGACUUCUGAUACAGUUACAUACAAAAUGCAUUUCAUCCUUAAGUUUCACAGUUUUAGACACCAUCUCAUUGGUUGUUGUUUUGUUUCUAUUUUCAUGUCUUUUCAAACCACUGAAAGUUGACAUCAGUGAAAAGCAUAGUUUAGCUUCAUUUAACAAUUUUUUAAUUGAAAUUCAAAGACAUUUCACUGUAAUGCCAUUACCCACUUGCCAUUUUCUUUUUUUGGAUUACACAACAUUUGUUAUUUUUCUGAAGUUACAAGAUUGCAGAAACAGAGGUCUGAAGAAAAAAAAACAUUUUUGAUUAGCAUACUUUAUCACUGCAAAAAAAGUCUUUUAAAUAUAAUCCUUAAAAAAAUGAGUAGAGAUAGGAGAAGAUUCCAGAAUAAUUUAACUCUGUGUAUGUUUAAUAUUUCAGAUGAAUAAAUCUAAACUGAAACCA